GCGCUCUCCGAUCUGGUGACGAUAUCGUCCACCACACCAGAGAGAUGAAACACACAGUCGUACCUCCUCCAGUCUUCAGGUGCGACUGAUGACAGGUUCAGCUCAACACUCAUCUGGAAGGAUCCAUCGUGGUUGGGGAGGAUCUCUCCGAGGUCCACGUCUGGACUCUUGGCAGGCCGUUCCAUUCUC